rnacentral:tRNA from 1 species
AGAAUAAUAGUUUAAAUAAAAUUUUUAAUUUGCAUUUAAAAGAUAUUUUUUAAUUUAUUUUA